rnacentral:rRNA from 1 species
ACGGCGAGUGAAGCGGCAACAGCUCAAAUUUGAAAUCUGGCUCUUUCAGGGUCCGAGUUGUAAUUUGUAGAGGAUGCUUCGGGUACGGCUCCGGUCUAAGUUCCUUGGAACAGGACGUCGCAGAGGGUGAGAAUCCCGUACGUGACCGGCCUCCACGCCCGUGUGAAGCUCCUUCAACGAGUCGAGUUGUUUGGGAAUGCAGCUCAAAAUGGGUGGUAAAUUUCAUCUAAAGCUAAAUAUUGGCCAGAGACCGAUAGCGCACAAGUAGAGUGAUCGAAAGAUGAAAAGCACUUUGGAAAGAGAGUCAAACAGUACGUGAAAUUGUUGAAAGGGAAGCGCUUGCAAUCAGACUUGCCCGCGGGUGAUCAGCCGGUAUUUUUACCGGUGCACUCGCCCGUGGUCAGGCCAGCAUCGGUUCGGGCGGCUGGAUAAAGUCCCCCGGAAUGUAGCUCCUUUCGGGGAGUGUUAUAGCCGGGGGUGCAAUGCUGCCCGCCUGGACCGAGGACCGCGCUUCGGCUUGGAUGCUGGCGUAAUGGUUGUAAGCGACCCGUCUUGAAACACGGACCAAGGAGUCUAACAUCUAUGCGAGUGUUUGGGUGUCAAACCCAUGCGCGUAAUGAAAGUGAACGGAGGUGAGAACCCUCAAGGGUGCACCAUCGACCGAUCCUGAUGUCUUCGGAUGGAUUUGAGUAAGAGCAUAGCUGUUGGGACCCGAAAGAUGGUGAACUAUGCCUGAAUAGGGUGAAGCCAGAGGAAACUCUGGUGGAGGCUCGCAGCGGUUCUGACGUGCAAAUCGAUCGUCAAAUUUGGGUAUAGGGGCGAAAGACUAAUCGAACCAUCUAGUAGCUGGU